UUUGUAGUUUACAAAGCACUUCCUCCUCUUUGAUGCUUACGGAUGAGGAAAGAGGCACAGCGCGGCUAGUGCACAGCGGAGCCAGGACCCGAACGUAGCUGGUUCCAGCCCUCGCUGUGCUGGGCUACGCUGCCCGGCCGCCCUUUACGAGCAGGGGCGGUGAGAGGUUAUGAAAGCUCACGGGCAAGGAGGAGAUUACACUUUGCGACUGGAAGGGCCCAGACAGCCUUUAGAACAGACGCUGGUCUCAUCUGGAGAUCCAGAAGCCUCUUGUAAGACCAGAUCCCAGUGGUGACAGGAGACUCUAGAAGUCCAAAUUAUCACUUAUUUCAGCGUGGGAGCUUCUCAAACCACACUUCCACAGAAAGGGACAUCAUGUUCUCCAGAUCACAGGUCUGCAAACUGUCAUGUUCAGGCCUGCUUUUCAACACAGGAGCGCCCAAGAAAAAGAUCGAAGACCCUGAUCUCCUCCUCAGAGGAUGCUGCCUUACGACUGGCGUGGAGGGGGUGGAGUUCCCAAGACCCACGUGUGAACUGGAGCUUCUGUGCCUGAAGCUGGUGAUGUGUGCUGAUUCUUGUGUUGGGGGUGGGGAGGGCUAUCCCCCCCAGAAAACUUCCUGUCCUGGAGACAAGAAAAUGGGGAACCCUAAAGGAAAUGUAAUUACUUGCCUUUUUUUUUUUUUUAAGAAAAUGUCUUGUUAGACCUUUUCCCCCAGUGUAUUUCUUUAAAAAUUAUUAUUUUUUUCUGAUCGUAAAGCAGUAUCUAUUCAUGGCAAAAAAAAAGUUAUAUAUUUAGUAAAAACAUUCAAAGAGAAAGUUCUUCAUAAUCUUAUUUCCCAGAGAUAAUGUAAAUUUUUAAAAAUUUCUUUUAUUAAAAAAAAUUCCCCCAGCUCUACUAAGGUAUAGCUGAGAACUUAAAAAAUGUGUAUAUGUAAGGUGUAUAACUUGGUGAUUUUAAAUUAAGUUUUGACUCAAGCUUUGAUAACUUAUUUAAAAAACUAAAUAACUGGGGCGCAUGGGUGGCACAGCAGUUAAGCGUCUGCCUUCAGCUGAGGGCGUGAUCCCGGCGUUAUGGGAUCGAGUCCCACAUCAGGCUCCUCUGCUAUGAGCCUGCUUCUUCC
rnacentral:lncRNA from 1 species